CAGGCUCCAGGCUCCGAGCCAUCAGCCCAGAGCCUGACGCGGGGCUCGAACUCAUGGACCGCAAGAUCGUGACCUGGCUGAAGUCGGACGCUUAACCGACUGCGCCACCCAGGCGCCCCCACAUGGCCCUCUUCUUAUUGGCCAGUGUAAUCUCAGCUAUGAAAGCUUUUCUAGAGAGCAUGAGCGGCGAAGAGCAGGCGAGAGAGAGAAUCUCAAGCAGGCUCCACGCUCAGCGCAGAGCCCAACGGGGGGCUCAAUACCUCGACCCUGAGAUCAUGACCUGACCCAAAAUCAAGAGUCAGACUCUCAACUGACUAAGGCACCUGGGCACCCCUGUCCUAUUAUUUUUCUUGGUAAACCAAACAGACAAACUGCA